rnacentral:rRNA from 1 species
GAUGAACGCUGGCGGCGUGCCUAAUACAUGCAAGUCGAGCGAACGGACGAGAAGCUUGCUUCUCUGAUGUUAGCGGCGGACGGGUGAGUAACACGUGGAUAACCUACCUAUAAGACUGGGAUAACUUCGGGAAACCGGAGCUAAUACCGGAUAAUAUUUUGAACCGCAUGGUUCAAAAGUGAAAGACGGUCUUGCUGUCACUUAUAGAUGGAUCCGCGCUGCAUUAGCUAGUUGGUAAGGUAACGGCUUACAAAGGCAACGAUGCAUAGCCGACCUGAGAGGGUGAUCGGCCACACUGGAACUGAGACACGGUCCAGACUCCUACGGGAGGCAGCAUAAGGGAAUCUUCCGCAAUGGGCGAAAGCCUGCCGGAGCAACGCCGCGUGAGUGAUGAAGGUCUUCGGAUCGUAAAACUCGGUUAUUAGGGAAGAACAUAUGUGGAAGUAACUGUGCACAUCUUGACGGUACCUAAUCAGAAAGCCACGGCUAACUACGUG